rnacentral:rRNA from 1 species
CUACGGGAGGCUCCAGUGAGGAAUAUUGCACAAUGGGGGGAACCCUGAUGCAGCAACGCCGCGUGGAGGAUGACGCAUUUCGGUGUGUAAACUCCUUUUAUAUGUCAAGAAAAUGACGGUAGCAUAUGAAUAAGCACCGGCUAACUCCGUGCCAGCAGCCGCGGUAAUACGGAGGGUGCAAGCGUUACUCGGAAUCACUGGGCGUAAAGGACGCGUAGGCGGGUUGGAAAGUCAGGUGUGAAAUCCUACAGCUUAACUGUAGAACUGCACUUGAAACUUCUAAUCUAGAGUAUGGGAGGGGGAAAUGGAAUUAGUGGUGUAGGGGUAAAAUCCGUAGAUAUCACUAGGAAUACCUAAAGCGAAGGCGAUCUCCUGGAACAUUACUGACGCUAAGGCGUGAAAGCGUGGGGAGCAAACAGGAUUAGAUACCCGCGUAGUC